UACAGAGGUGGCAAGCGUUGUUCGGAAUUACUGGGCGUAAAGGGCGCGUAGGCGGCCUUCUAAGUCAGACGUGAAAUCCCCCGGCUUAACCUGGGAACUGCGUCCUGAUACUGGAGGGCUUGAGUAUGGGAGAGGGAUGUAGAAUUCCAGGUGUAGCGGUGAAAUGCGUAGAUAUCUGGAGGAAUACCGGUGGCGAAGGCGGCAUCCUGGACCAUUACUGACGCUGAGGCGCGGAAAGCUAGGGGAGCAAACGGG
rnacentral:rRNA from 1 species